rnacentral:misc_RNA from 1 species
AUUUGAUGCAGCAGAAGGGACAUCUUUACUAGGUGAGCUUGACUUGGCUUUCCUAGGGAUGUAUGCUGGGGGGAUGUACUUCUCUGGCCAAUUGGGAGAUAGAACGGAUUUGAGGAUAUUUUUAACUUUGGGAAUGUUGGGAACUGGUCUGUUUACUUCGCUAUUCGGAUUAGGAUAUUGGGCAAACAUCCAUGUCUUUUCUUACUAUUUGAUUGUUCAAAUGCUUGCUGGCCUGUUCCAAUCCACUGGCUGGCCUUCUGUUGUUGCGGUGGUCGGUAAUUGGUUUGGAAAGAGCAAGAGAGGACUAAUAAUGGGUAUAUGGAAUGCUCACACAUCUAUUGGCAACAUUUCUGGCUCUCUGGUUGCAUCUGCGUUGUUGAGCUAUGGUUGGGGUUGGUCAUUGGUUGUCCCUGGUCUGAUCAUUGCAUUUUCGGGUUUGGUAGUCUUUCUGUUUCUUCCUGUGAAUCCUGAGUCUGUUGGAAUUGAUAAAGAAGGAGAUGACUUGAGCUCUCCCAAGAAAGUUGGGGAGGGAAAUACAGAACCUCUAUUGAAAUCAGAAUCAGAGAUUGAGAAGGCAGUCGGUUUUAUGGAAGCAUGGAGAAUUCCUGGUGUUGCACCUUUUGCAUUUUGCCUCUUCUUUGCUAAAUUGGUGGCUUAUACAUUCCUUUACUGGCUCCCUUUCUACAUUAGCCACACAGUUAUCGAUGGAAAAUAUUUGUCAAGUUCUACAGCCGGAAACCUUUCGACAUUGUUUGAUAUUGGAGGGGUAAUAGGCGGAAUUCUAGCUGGUCAUAUUUCUGAUCGCUUAGGUGCUAGAGCCAUUACAGCUGCAAGUUUCAUGUACUGUGCCAUUCCUGCCCUCUACUGCUACCGAAACUACGGUCACAUAUCCAUAACGAUGAAUGUAGCUCUCAUGUUCAUCACUGGCAUGUUUGUCAAUGGGCCAUAUGCUCUAAUAACAACGGCUGUCUCUGCCGAUUUGGGAACCCACAGUUCAUUGCACGGGAAUUCUCGUGCGCUUGCUACGGUGACAGCGAUUAUUGAUGGGACUGGCUCGGUUGGGGCUGCGAUUGGACCCUUGUUAACGGGAUAUUUAUCAGCUAAAAGCUGGAGUUCAGUGUUCGUAAUGCUGAUGGUCUCAGCUUUAAUAGCAGGGCUGUUUUUGACAAGGCUUGUUAUAGCUGAGGUGACUGCAAAGAUUGAGGAGUCGAGUUCGAGAGGAAGGAUUACAUCCAGGAGUCCAGUACUCGAAGUGUGAGCUUAUGUGUUGAUGACGACAACAACAACAAUCCUAGGUACCAUUGUAUUUAGCCCGUGUUUG